AUGACAACAUGGAAAGGAAAGGACCGUGUAGGUUCUCUAUGUUUUCAUGUAAAUUUCUUGGUGACUAAGUUUUGUGUACUAGGAGACAUGAGAGUUGGUAAACUCAGAACUUCUACUUUUCAAAAUAAGUGUUUAUUUGACCUAAAAAAUUAUCUUAAAAUAACUGUCGUUUUAUUUUUGUAA